UAAUAUUAAUAUUUAUUAAUAUUUAAUACUACUACUAAUUCCUACUGUUUAUUUACUUAAUUUAAUUUAAUUUUAAAUUUUAAGCUCACCUCCCCCGCUCACCCCGCCCUUGGCAGCAGAGUCGGGCUGGCUUUCCUCCCGCCGGACGUCUUCCAACAGAUCAUCCUCUUCGAUCACCAGAGAUGGUUCCUGCCAUUGAAUCAUCCCGUGCUCGUAUUCUCCCUCCGAGUCUCCC
rnacentral:lncRNA from 1 species